rnacentral:lncRNA from 10 species
UUAUCAGUCAUCUGAAAUAUGCACAGCCUUUCCAAGACAAAUGUGCACUCCUGUUUCUAGGAAAACACCAGAAAGUACUUACCAAUUACCCUGUAUAUGCUGUGUGGAAAAAGACAACAUCAGCCUACCCUGAAAGCCAUAACAAAGCAGAUUCCUCCGGGCCGCCGACAGCUGAGUGGCCCGAGUUAGAGCCUCUGCAGAAUCCCAGCCUGUGGCCUGGGCCAGGUCCAGGUCCAGGUCCAGGUCCAGGUCCAGGUCCAGGUCCAGGGGGCAUUCUUCCCCUCGCAUGAUUACCACGUCCCUCACCCUUUGCCCAAGGAACUGACCUCAUCUUAGAAGAAGUCUCAAGGGUUGGUGUGUUCUUACUAAGUGCCCAGGAUUUUCUUCCAGACCCAUCACAAAUCCAAAGAUGGCUCUCCUGAAGAGAGGCCUAAAAAAGAGGGUGCGGCCCAGGGGGAUCUAUUAUAGUAAUAACCGCAGGAACGAGAGCCGCCGCUGGUGGGCAGCUCACCAUCCGCCAGGAGCAGGCUUGGCGGGCACUGUUUUAUUUGGUCUUCACAGCAGUCCUCUAAGGACUCAAGCACAGAGGGUUCGGAAACCGCGUUGCUGCACGGGGCCCCAGGGGCUGCUUCCCCGAUAUUCUGAGAGCCAGGCGGAAGGACAGGAGCAGCUCUUCAAACUCACAGACAACAUACAGGACGAAUUUCGAACUAUCUCUGGUCACUGUGAAAUUUGUUUGCAAUAGAAGAAAUUGCGUGGUACAGCCAACAUAGGACUGCUCCCAGUGAGAUACACACAUUGAAAAACAGAGCCAGAGAGAGCUAAAAACUGGAAUCGAAAUGAAAUCAGUAAAAUAGCUUUCAUGAAACUCAUGAAAUUCAUAUGAACUAGGAAGAGAUAUUGGCAUGAAUGAAUUUUGACUUUAAAGAUGAAAACCAUGUGUCUCCACCCAAGUUGUGGGUUAAAUCUUGCCAAUGAAUGCUGAAGGAGGCACGUGACCACGGCCUUCCCAAGUGUACAAGGAAGAAGCCAUCAGGGAGUGUGUCGCAUGUUCCUCUGAAGUGUCCUCAGUUGUCAGCCUGGGUCUUCGCGGUGGAGUGAACAUUACACUCAUCACUCUGCAAGAAAGGAGUUUUCAGGAAAAGCCCACGAGCGCCAAAUUAUACCUCUGACUUUUAUCCUAGAUUUGUAAUUAAAAACAUGUUUAAAGACCUAAUUAUUUGCGUAUUUCCCUUCAGAGUUAACCCCUUUAAAGGAUCUUUAAUACCUUGCUCUACUGUUCUGACUAAAUGUUUCCACAUUUUUUUCCAGUUAGGCUCACUGUUUCACUUCUGGAAAAUAUUGUGUAAUUAUUUCCCGAUGGAGUGAAAACCCCACGAAGUCCCCAGUGCCUUGGUGACUUCAACUUUAUUCUCCCAGAUCGAGUUGCAUUUAAUUUUGUCAUUCUAUUUAAUUAAUUAAUAUUAAAAAGAUAGUUACCAACGUAUGAUUUCUGGUCUGGCCAGCUGAAAAGUCUUCACUUUCAAAUUAAUCAUAUAUUCCUCUGAUAAGUUGCACAAUUGUCAUUGCUUCCCAUCUUUCUCAGUUUUGGUUUUGAAACAGGAUCUGGAUUAAGAUGAUGUUAAAGUAAAAUUUGUCCUAUAUGGUGAAAUUAAUUUUUCUUUCUAACUCAUGUC